rnacentral:rRNA from 1 species
UACGUAGGGUGCAAGCGUUAAUCGGAAUUACUGGGCGUAAAGCGUGCGCAGGCGGUUCUGUAAGGCGGGUGUGAAAUCCCUGGGCUCAACCCAGGAACUGCGUCCGAUACUGGUUGGCUUGAAUCCGGGAGAGGGACGUGGAAUUCCAGGUGUAGCGGUGAAAUGCGUAGAUAUCUGGAGGAACACCGGUGGCGAAGGCGACGUCCUGGACCGGCAUUGACGCUGAGGCGCGAAAGCCAGGGGAGCAAACGGG